rnacentral:rRNA from 1 species
ACGGUUACAGAGCAAUGUAGUGUUUGGGAGAGCCCGUUUAACCUAAGCAAUAUAUAAGUGAGUUCAAGUCCUUCUUGAAGGGGGCCAUUUUCCCAUAGAGGGUGCUAGGCCCGUAGUAACCAUUUAUAUGUUUAGGUGGGUUUCUCCUUAGAGUCGGGUUGCUUGAGAGUGCAGCUCUAAGUGGGUGGUAAACUCCAUCUAAGGCUAAAUAUGACUACGAAACCGAUAGCGAACAAGUACCGUGAGGGAAAGUUGAAAAGAACUUUGCAGAGAGAGUUCAAGAGUACGUGAAACUGUUCAGGGGUAAACCUGUAAUACCCAAAUAGUUCGAAAGAGGUGAUUCAAUUGUUUAUCCGUUUAUAACCAUUUUUCAGUAUAUAGACAUUUAUAAAUCAUCUAUGAUUUUUAAUCGUAUUUGUUAUAUUAUAUAUGCUAUUCUGAUUAAUGUAUAGUUUAUAUUCGGUGGCAUGCACUUCAUCUCUAGUAGAGCGUCGUAACUCAUUAGAUAUUAAUAUUGUGUAUAUGUGUGGUGUUUAAGGUUCACAAUGGAGACCGUGGCGUAAUAAUAUUUUUUAUUAAAUAUUAUUUGCGACCCGGACUUGUGUUAUCCUGACACUCUAUCUGAUGGUAUAUAUAUAAAAAUGUAAAUCACUAUAAUAGUGUGAGUGUUAUUCAUUGCUAUAACAAAUAUUGAUA